rnacentral:misc_RNA from 1 species
GAUGAAGAACGCAGCGAAAUGCGAUAAGUAAUGUGAAUUGCAGAAUUCAGUGAAUCAUCGAAUCUUUGAACGCACAUUGCGCCCCUUGGUAUUCCGGGGGGCAUGCCUGUUCGAGCGUCAUUAUAACCCCUCAAGCACGGCUUGUGUGUUGGGCCGUCGUCCCCCUCCUAGGGGACGGGCCCGAAAGGCAGCGGCGGCACCGCGUCCGGUCCUCGAGCGUAUGGGGCUUCGUCACCCGCUCCGUAGGCCCGGCCGGCGCUUGCCGACGACCAUCAAUCUCUUUCUCCAGGUUGACCUCGGAUCAGGUAGGGAUACCCGCUGAACUUAAGCAUAUCAAUAAGCGGAGGA